CAAGUACAACCUCCGUCCGGAAUUAACUGUCGCUGAAAUGAGUGUAUCUAGACAUGUUUUAGUGUGUAGAUACACUCAUUUCAGUGACAGUUAAUUCCGGACGGAGGGAGUAGUCU
rfam:Triticum aestivum genome assembly, contig: Triticum_aestivum_CS42_TGACv1_scaffold_032748_1BL